rnacentral:rRNA from 1 species
CCUACGGGUGGCUGCAGUGGGGAAUAUUGGGCAAUGGACGCAAGUCUGACCCAGCAACGCCGCGUGAAGGAAGAAGGCUUUCGGGUUGUAAACUUCUUUUAAGGGGGAAGAGCAGAAGACGGUACCACUUGAAUAAGCCACGGCUAACUACGUGCCAGCAGCCGCGGUAAUACGGAGGUGGCAAGCGUUGUCCGGAUUUACUGGGUGUAAAGGGAGCGUAGACGGCUGCGCAAGUCAGAAGUGAAAGCCCGGGGCUCAACCGCGGGACUGCUUUUGAAACUGUAUAGCUAGAGUGCAGGAGAGGUAAGUGGAAUUCCUAGUGUAGCGGUGAAAUGCGUAGAUAUUAGGAGGAACACCGGUGGCGAAGGCGGCUUACUGGACUGUAACUGACGUUGAGGCUCGAAAGCGUGGGGAGCAAACAGGAUUAGAUACCCCUGUAGUC